CCUACGGGGGGCUGCAGUGGGGAAUAUUGCACAAUGGGGGAAAUCCUGAUGCAGCAACGCGGCCAGAGCGAUGAAGGCCUUCGGGUCGUAAAGCUCUGUCCUAAGGGAAGAAUAUUGACGGUACCUUAGGAGGACGUCCUGGCGCACUUUGUGCCAGCAGCCGCGGGAAUACGUAGGGGGCUAGUGUUAUCCGUACUUACUGGGCGUAAAGGGUGCGUAGGCGGCCGCUCAAGUAAGAGGUGAAAGGCUACGGCACAACCGUAGUAAGCCUUUGAAACUGUAGGGCUUGAGUGUAGGAGAGGAGAGUUGAAUUCCCAGUGGAACGGUGAAAUGCGUAGAUAUUGGGAGGAACACCAGGAGAGAGGGAGGCUCUCUGGCCUGGAACUGACGCUGAUGAACGAAACAGUGGUGAGCGAACAGGAGUAGAUACCCAAGGAGAC
rnacentral:rRNA from 1 species